UGGGUGAGACACGCGAAGGCUAUCAUCCAUAUUCUCUCUCUCUCUCUCUAAGUUGUUAAGGAUGCUCUAAUUGCUUUGGCUGCCCAUGCUGUUGACCCUAGUGAAGCAGAAAGGCUUAAGUUUUUGUCAUCCCCUCAAGGGAAGGAUGACUAUUCCAAAUGGGUUGUUGGAAGUCAGAGAAGUCUCCUGGAGGUAGUGGCUGAGUUCCCAUCAGCAAAGCCUCCUCUUGGUGUUAUUUUUGCAGCAAUAGCGCAUCACUUGCAGCCCUGUUACUAUUCAAUCUCAUCCUCUCCUAGGUAUAUUAGUCUUCCCACUUAUGAUAGAUACUCCAAGGCUGGUUUAUAACUUAACAUAGAGCUUCAACUAACAAUGCUCCUUCCCAUAAUUGGUCCUGAUUUAUGUCCCAUCGAGUUCAUGUGACCUGUGCUUUAGUUUACGGUCCAACUCCCA